rnacentral:lncRNA from 1 species
AGCGAGUGGCGAGACAUGGAGAAAGACAUCAAAAGAAAAUAACCAGUACAGAACGGCAAGAAAAAUGAAAGUUUUGUCGGAGCUUUUCUCACGGUCUAAGACCGGAGAAAGGCUCGACUCACACCAAUAGAAGGACGGUUAGGAGGAGAGUGGAAUCGAAGGGGCGGCGACGACAAACGGCGGCGAAGAGAAGGAAGCUUGGAGAAGCGGC